GUCGUGAUUCUACAUAACAACAUCCGCUUGACCUCGCAAUGCCAUGAAGAAGAAAGGCGUGGAACAUUUGCUUAAGAUCUUCAGCAGAUGUUUGAGAAAAAAAUCAUCAUCCUCUUCGUCACUCUUCAUCCGUAUUUGGGGUAACAAACACCUGCUUCCCACAAGAGACUGGACCUCUGAAGUCAGGUGAUAAUUUUACUGGUACAAUGUUGGAUGGAUCAUCAGACCUGCACCUUCCUUGAACAUGUUGGUAACUUACUCUGUAUUUGUUCACGGUGGUCACCCCAGGGUUUCAGGACUCAAAACGAGUGCUCUAUGGAUUGAACAGAAAAUGUGGAUCAACACUCCAACCAUCUGCAUUAGGGACUGAAUAAAGGAUGCCCUCCGUAGCUGGGAAUGUUAGAUCAGGCGGAUCAACAUUCCAUCCAUCUGCAUUAGGAUCUACCUUAGAGACACUCACUGGAGCUGUAAAUUGAAGCAGGUCACUUACUUUGCAUUCGUCCUUGGUGGUCACCCCAGGGUCUCUAGAGUGAAAAUUACUCAAUCUAUGGAUUAAACAGAAAAUUUAGUUUUAUGAAGUGCAAUUUGGGACAUUCUUCCAGUUGUCGGCAACUUUGUGAAAAAGGCUGGAAACUAAAAUGCAGAAUUCUGGCCUGGUGUUUGGUCUGUGCUGUCUUUGACUCUUGCAUCUCCAUCAUCCUGACCCUCUUUAGCAGCCUGUCCAUGUAUUUAUUCGGAGGCCACCAUGAGCACCCAUCUGCAUAAUAUGACUUUGUUACUCAGUUGUCCAUGCUCCUACAAAUUCUACAUUUUUUGUAAAGCUGCAACAAGUUGAAACCCUAUAAUUAUUAACGUUUGAUUUUGAAUUAUGUAAUUCAAAUACAUGAAUAAGUAACAAAAGCAGAAAUCUAUUAAGACAUUACCUUUUUGUUGUUUGUUUACUGAUCUAUCAAUCCUUUUGCAUUCUCAUAAUUGAUCAUCAUAACUUGGUAUACAGUGGAUGUGUGGCUGUAGAUAACUUUCUGAAGUCAAUUCAAAAAGGCAAAAGUUAAUAAAUGCUAAAUUGGUCAAAUAUACAUUGUUGUAUUUUCACCAUUUUGAUCUUAUUUAGGCAUUUCAUAACUUGAGAGGGAAAUUUACGUAUACUGAUUUUUCAAAUCAAAGAUUAAUUUAUUAAUGACAGCUAAUCAUUGUAUAAAGAUUUUUAUAACAAUAUUUAUUUAUAUAAUAUCAAUUUAAUACAUUUAUUUCGUUACACCUACAUCACUGAGCGCAAGGGAGUGCAGCCAACAAAUACAUUCAGGUGUGUUUGAUUUAACACCGAGAUGCGCAGACAGCACGUGGUAUGACAACAAAGUACCGCGAGAGUUUUGGGAAAGCCCCGGAAAAGGUUUGAACUCGCGGUACUUGAUGUCACGAUCGGUUUGCGCGUAGAUCAGCAUGAAGUCGAACACAUCUGAAAGAUGUGUGGGCUGCCUGCACUCAACGUUGCAUUCAUGAGUAGAGUGUAACCUCAAUCGGUUUUUGCAGCUUCUGGGUGUCGUGUCGAACGAUCACAGAACGAGUUUUUGUUCUUUUCCAACUCGAUUUUUAACUCCUUAAACUAGUAGGAUGUUCCAACGAGUGAAGCAACAGUGCUUCAGUGACGGAGUUUCAGUGUCAAGUUUUCAUGCCAUGACCACUGGGGCGGAAACCAUGACGUUGCCUUGGACUUCAAACUAAGCCAUCUCAUUCUGGCUUUUUUCUAACCUCGAAAUCUCAGAAGGACAGGUCUAAUGGACGCAGCCUCCAUAGGAUGCAACCUUGCAUUUCAGAAACACCCCUAGAACGGUCAACUUACCCCAUACUCUAACCUGAAUGCAGGGAUCAUAAAACUUUAUCUUUUACCUUAAUUGUUAGAUGGGUGUUGAUACCAAACUUUUUUUUCUCGUCUACCCAGGAGAAAGUCAUGGGUUCUGCUGCUGAGGUUGUCAUAAAGCAUGCUUUUUUCCAUUUGUUGCAUUUGGCAAUAUUAUCAAAAGAUUCUGAAAGAAAUAAGAUAAUUUUCAAAGCAUUAACAUGAAUAUGAAAGUCAUUAAUGACCAUCUUUUAUUAUUGUUUAUUUACAGUGUCUUUUAUUCUGCUUACCUGACUCAUGCAGAAUUCUGGCUUGAUGUUUGGUCCACCUGUUAGCUGGCUCUGGUGCUUGGUAGUCUUCUCAAACCUCUGAAUCAAGACCACCAUGAGAGGCCUUCUGAAGACCAUCAUUACGCUGCAGAUCCAGUGGUCUUUACUAUGAGAUAGAACUGAACUGGAGUCUGUGAACUAAUGCUGUGUUCGAGACAACUUGGAUGUUUGAUAUUAUUGACCUCAAACCCAUAAGAAGUCUGGAACAGUAAACAAAGUUGAGUAUCUGACCUCUCAACUUGGGACAGAUCCAUCAACACCGACCUCAACGAGAUGCGUCAUUUGACAUUGCAGACAAGGUGGUGGCUAGCCUUUCACAGCCUUACAUGAACCGCAAACAAACUUUAAACUAUUUUUACAGCACAUAAUAUUUAUGAACAUGAAUGUUAAAUUAUCCAGUAACCGUUUUCUGCCAUAAUUGGCACAAGAGCACAAACUUCUCCUGGCGUUAACAAAUGGUAAUGUUAAUGAAAAGUUCAUUUUUGUCACAGUUGCAAAUUAACAACCACACAGAAUAUGAAGAAUAGCCAGAACUGUGGUAUUAAGCUAGCCCUAAAAUGUUGUGAGAAUCUUGAUGUAUUGGACACAGGUGUGUAGUAUCUGUUAUAUAUUGACGGUUGACAGGUUUGUUUGCAUGUAAUUGCAUUAUUAUUAAUUUGGGGUUGAUAGUCCAAUGUUGAUUUGAGAGAAAUAUUUUUUUCUUUUUAGAUCCUUUCUCUUUUUUUAUGCAGCUCUUAAGGAUGAAGCACCCUGAUCUACUAAGAUGCACAGAUUCAACUCUGGCCCAGCAUCAUCCCCACACCUCAUCUGCCAUCAGUUUAAUUUAAUGUCUGUCAAUUGCAAAUGCUAUUUCAGUUAUAUUACAACUUAAUAUUAACUUUAAUUGAGACUAGUAUUGUGUAAAGCUGGGGUUUCCAAACUUUUCAUUUUAAAACCUAUUAGACAAGUAUAAUCUAUUCUAGACCCACUAAAAUAUUUUUAAAUAUACAUUUUUUUUAAUGGGGUAAAACACAUUUGUUCUCUUUCAGUGGAGUCAUUUUAUUUUCAUAAUAUUUCAUAAUGUGAAGAAGUGGUUCUUAACGUUAUUCCUCGAGGCCCACUGCUCUGCACAUUUUGUAUGUCUCUUUUAUCUGACAGACUCAGUUCAGUUCAUUGAGAUCUCUUCUAAUGAGCUGAUGAUUUGAAUCAGGUGUGUUAAAUAAGGGAGACAUACAAAAUGUGCAGGGCAGUGGGCCUCGAGGAAUAACGUUGAGAACCACUGAAAAGUAAAUAAGUUUAUUUGCAAUACCAAAUAUUUUAUGGUAUAUUCUUUCAAAACCAUUGUCAUUGUUAAUUAUUAAUUGGCCAAACUGUUGUUGCAUCAUUAAGGUGUGCAACACACCUUAACCUACUGUGUGACCGACAAGUGGGUCCUCCUGACCCACAGUUUAAAAUCCCCUGGUGUACUGAAUGUUGUAUUGUAAUUAAAGUCGCAUCUAAGUCUUG